rnacentral:lncRNA from 1 species
CACUGCUGCUGCCCUUCAGCAUGGUCUGACCUCCUUCUGCACCUGCUGGAGGGUGUCUCUAUCCCUUUUGCUUUCUCCCAGAAGGUGCAGGUUGCAUUUUAUACUCACAGCACUUAGUAUUUCUGUCACAUUAUGCAUUUCAAAGCAUUUUGCAAGGACCAGGCUGAGACGUACAUCUGUCCCCGUCUCUGACGUGGAGCCAGUGCAGGCUGCAGCACUGGCACACCAACAAGCGUAAGAAGUUCAUCAGAUCCAGUUAUCUUUCUGCCAAAGUAUGCAUUGGAUCAGCUCACUGAACCAAAGCAGACACUAAUCCAUCAUCUGUCCAAGCUGCUUGCUGGCCAGCACUGCAACUCCCGAGAGCAAGAUGGAAUAUGAGAGGGAGCGAGAAAAAAAUCUGGGGAGGGAAGAAUCUUCUGGUUGCAAUCUGUUGGCUGUGGUGUAAAACAACCACAGCAAGAAAGACCUGCUGAUAAGACAUGGCAACUACGUAUACUUCACCAUCCUACAGAUCUAAGAUACAAAAACCAGGCAUACUUGGAGCUGGACCCUGACAUAAGCUGUGAUACAGAGGAGCCUGAUGUCACUUCUGCUGAGGAAGUAUUCUCCUUGCACUGUGUAGACUAGGCAUGAGGAAAAACUACUGGCAAGUAUGAGACCUAUUCUGUUGUGCUCAGAGUCCUCGUGCACUGAAGGAUAGCAGACUGCGCUCCUAAGAGGUACUGAGUCUGUCUCGGGAGUACCCGAGCAUACUCCUAUCAAAAGAUUUGUAUGUUCUUUAAGUUCCCUCCAGUGCGGUUUUUUUUCAGAAUGCCUAUGGCUAACUCUUUUUAAAUUACAGAAAGAUAUGGGCAAAAUUUAUGAUUUGGAUAAAAUGAGUGAAUUUUAGCCAUGAAACACAGCUAGGAAAAGUGAAUAUGGAAAGAAUAUCCACUCUGAGAAAAUUUAACUGAAAACUAAAUUAUCAAGUUCCAUCAUCUGAGCAGGGGUUGUCUGUUAAACACUCCCAAGUGUUUGUCUGCCUUCCAGUGUGUCUCAUAUGGGUCUUCUAAGAAGUACAUCUUACAUGUUUUCACUCCAGGCUUUCUGCACUCAAAAAAUUGGUCUAGUUCUCACAGUUAGGCUGUUUUCCGUAGCUUGCCCAAAGUAGUAUCAUUUGUCAGUCUCACUU